UUUUAAAAGGUGCGUUAACGAUUGAAGCGACAUCCUUUUUGUCCUCCGGCUGGCGGACAAAAAGAUAUAGCGAAAAGCGUGUCAAAAC
rnacentral:sRNA from 1 species